GCACAGAGUUAAAUUUUUUAACAUUUUCUAAUGGUGAUGUGCCUCGUGAUUUUUUUCAUGAAACAAGUGUGCCUUUGCCCAAAAAAGGUUGAAAAAAACUGGGUUAAAGGAAGGGAUAAAAUUAGAAAAUAAGGAAUUACUAGAUUUGGAAGGUUUUGAUAACAGAUUUGGAUGGCACGCAUAUUUAUAGUGUGAUAAAAAGAAAGUUCAUAAAGGUUUUGAGAACCACAUCUUCAGGAAUUCGUUAAUAGAUGUAUGGGACAGGUACAAAAAUUUAUUGGAACCAAAAGUACCACAUUGGUUAUCUCCACUGGAGGUUAUGAGCGUAAAGAAAAUAAAUAUGAGAAGUAAAUGGAUUACAUAUGGUGAAAUGGUAAUCAAAGAAGGAAAAUGGAAAUUGAAACCAUAUGAACAAGUUAAAGACUAUGUAUAUGACUGGUUGCAUUAUUUCCAAGUAAAUGAAAUGUUUAGAAAAGAUAUAAAAGAAAAUGGUUAUGGAGAGAAAGAUUCAAAGUUUCAAACAGACAUAAUAAAUAAUGUAUGUAAAACUUUGUCAAAAAUGUAUGAGAUAUUAUUGGAAUGGUAUACGAAAGAUGAAGAGGUUAAAUCGGUAAUGAUACAAUGGGCCAAAGACUUCGGGUAUAAUAUCGAAUUUGGUGAUUGGGAAAAAUUGUGGAAAGAAAAUCUAAAAUUUACUGCAUGCAUGGCAUUGAAGGAAAACGUGAUGGAAAUGUUUUAUAGAUGGUACAUCACACCGGUAAAAUUAGCAAAAAUGUAUAAGACAUGCAAUAAGUGUUGGAAAUGUAAAGAAAAAGGAGGAACGUUUUAUCAUAUGUGGUGGGAGUGUAAGAAAGUGAAGAGUUUCUGGGAAGCGAUAUAUAAUGAAUUGAAAAAGAUGUUAAAAUAUACUUUUGUAAAGAAACCAGAAGCUUUUCUUUUAGGGAUUACAGGAAAAGAAAUAAGAAGAAAGGACUGUAAACUUUUUCAGUAUGCAGUUACGGCAGCAAGAAUUUUAUUGGCCCAGAAAUGGAAAGAGGAAAUACCGACGAUACAAGAAUGGAGAAUGAAACUGACAGACUAUGCUGAACUAGAUAAACUAACUGGGAAAAUAAGAUAUGUGAGAGACCAAAAGUUUACCGAAGAUUGGGAAAAGUUUGUGGAAUAUCUGAAAAAUGUGUGUGAUGUGCAAACAACGCUGGUGGGGUUUCAAGAAGCACUGUAAAAGUUAAGAUGUAUUGUCAAAAAGAAAUAGAAGGGGGAGGGAAGAUAAAUGGCAAUACAAUGAAGAGAAUGCGUACUGAAGAAUAACUAUGGAUGAUUACCAGAGAAGUUGAAGGAAGUCCAAAAUGUUUUUUAUUUGUUAAAAUUUGGGUAAAAUUGUAUAAUUUUGUUGGGAAAUUAAUAAAAAAAUAUUUUUUUUUAAAAAAAAAUUAAUUUUAAUUUAGCCGCGGCAUUUUGGGGAGAGUAACAAAAUAGGAAUUCCACCGAUUAAAUAAUUCUGCGGGAGCGGUUUGUGGUUUGACGGUAGUGUAGACAAUACCGAGUAAAAGUGCAGCCAGAUAAAUAGCUUAAUUGAUUGGCCCUGUUCUUAAUCUCUGUUGUGUUAUGGCUUCCAGGGGCAACUCGCGGGACCCUCUUCCAAUAGAGGCAGGUCUGGUGCGCAGAGUAGAAAGCUAACCUCUCUUAUGCCCUGCAAUCCACAGGCUUUCGCGCAAUUCUUUUCUGCCUUUGAAACAUUUUAUCAACAAUGUAGACCGGGGGUCGUGGGGUCCUCCGCUCCAUUGUUGGGUACACAGGAUUACAUCCCAGAUACCCUCCCUAGCAACCAGGAGAGCCCAGGUACAUCAUCCUCCAGUUUAAGCACUGCAGAAUACAGCAGCAGUACGGGUACUCGCCCCCUCACGCACUCUCAGUAGUCGCACACUCAGAAGUCUAGGCCUGGUUCCACGGAUGGUAAGGCUCAUUCCGCCAGGUCUAAUCACUCUACUCCACAGCUGCAGGUUAUAGAUGUUCCCAGUGUAUUCCAGGAGCCUCUGUCUCAGCCUACAACCAUUGAGGUCGGAUCAGGUUCUUUAUCUUAGAAUGAGGUGCAGACACAGAAGUAACGCCCAUAGCUGCUGAGCCAGCCCAGGACGCCUGCAAGGUGCAGGGGGAAAAGAGAAAGGCAAAGAAGAAACACAUCGUGAAGAGGAGUAAGAAAAGUAAACCUUCCAACACCAAGGAAGAUUCAGGUACUUCUUCAGACUUCGACAGUGACACCCCCUGGGAGGGGUACUGGGGCUUGGGUGAGGAUAUUGCCGGGGUCCCUCUUUGGGUUCACGAGAGGAGGGCUAACUCGCAUCGCAAAAUGUUUAAUGGGUCCUUGGAAUGGAAGGGAGGUGCCUUAGUGGAGGACAUGAAGAUGUCCACUAAUGUUUCCACAGAUUUCAUUUUGGGUAAUCACCUGUCCAAAAGGAAAAGGACCAAGAUUCUUAAUGGGGAUUAUGUAGAUAUGUUCACCCUGCUCCCACCAUCAAAAGUAUCAUGAAAAGGGGGAAAGAAGCGUACUUAUGGGAAACAUAGGUAUAGGUCACGGCGGGCGGAGCGUUAUUUCGAGAAUUGGCUAGAUCGGUUUCAGGUUUUCAUGGGCGCAAUUUCCGCUUGUUAUCCCAAACGCGGUAUGCAUCUAGCUGCCUAUAUGGCACAUGUAAGAAGGGCCUGUGCCCUGGCCGAGGAGGCGGCCGCCUUAACCUACAUAAAUUUUUUCGCAGAAAUGCUUCCUUGUUACCCACUACCUGCUGGGACCUUAGAGACCAGAAUUACUGGAUGGAGCAUGUGGGUCCCUACAUAGAAAAGAAACCACUGGACCCAUACAAGUCUGGGAAGGUCGAGUCAAAGCGACGUAAGCAGUGCUGGGAAUAUAACCGCGCUACUUCUAUGCGUCCAAGUUGAAAGUACCUGCAUGAGUGCGAGAAGUGCCUGGGCAAUCAUCCGGCAACAUCUUGCUUCAAAGGUAAGCAGACCUUUUGGGGUGGCAUAGGGCACUUCCAGGGAAAUCGAGGUGCCCCUGGACCCUCCCAGGGCACACCUGGAAACCGCUAUUAACACGUCCCUUAGUCUGACCUUUUCACCAAUUAAGCUGCAACCUCUAAAAAUCCUCCUUGAUUUAUACCUGAAUAAACAAGCCGCCAGGUACCUAUGGAGGGGUUUUCCUUCUGUUUUAGAAUCCCUGUUUCAUUCACGCCCAACUCCAGAAACCCCCCUAACCAGAAAUCAGUAAAAUAAAGGCCAGAUAUUGCUAAAAAGAAAAUACGAAAGGAAAUAGUGGCUGGGAGGGUAGCUGGCCCAUUCAUUGAACCACCUUUGGAGGGUUUACACAUCUCACCAUUGGGUAUUGUCCCCAAGAAGGCCCCGGGUGAAUACUGCCCGAUUCCCCACCUUUCAUAUCCAAAAGGAAGCUCUGUCAACGAUGCAAUUCCACAAGAACUAUGUUCAGUGAAGUACGCCUCCUUCGAUCAAGCGGUAAAGCUUAUUUGUGGAUUUGGUAAGGGAGCCCUGUUAGCUAAGUGCAAUAUUGAGUCUGCUUUUCGUCUCCUUCCGGUUCACCUGGACGACUUCUGUUGGCUGGAUUUUUCAAUUUGAAGGGGCAUAUUUCAUAGAUAAAGUCAUGCCCAUGGGAUGCUCUAUAGCAUGUGCAGCCUUUGAGACCUUUAGCACAUUCCUAGACUGGGCUCUUCAUUUUAAAACAGGUUCUGAAGGGGUGGGACAUUACUUAGGUGACUUUGUUCUCAACGCAAGUAAUGUGCCCGACUGCGUAGCAUUGCUUCAAGCAUUUCCAUCCCUGGCAGAGGAGCUUGGUGUACCUUUAGCAAAGGACAAAACUGAGGGCCCAGUUACAACCAUGACAUAUUUGGGCAUACAGUGGUGCCCCGCAAGACGAACGCCUAGCAAGACGAAAAACUCGCAAGACGAAAGGUUUUUUCGUUUUCGAGUUGCUUCGCAAGACGAAUUUCCCUAUGGGCUUGCUUCGCAAGACGAAAACGUCUUGCAAGUUUGUUUCCUUUUUCAUAAAACCGUUAAAACCCAGGGUGCAUUGCUGGAAGAGGUGCAGUUGCGACUUGACUUCGAGGAGCAACACAUUGCACGCGAUAGUUCUUUACCAUCUGGCACGGAAGUACUCCUCCCCUCCCCGGGGCUAUCUGUGUGCUGCCUUCUUAGAUCUUAAGGCAGCCUUCGACAGCGUUCCUAGAAAUAUUCUUUGGGAGAAACUUGCGAAACAGGGCAUCGAUAGAAGGCUCUUAUGGCUUAUAAGUCAGCUCCACGAAGGUACCCUUGCCAGAGUGAGACUUACUCCUGCGGGCGACCUCACAAAUUCGAUACCAAUAAACAAGGGAGUGCGCCAAGGAUGUAUAUUGGCCCCUGCCUAUUCAAUCUAUUCAUCAGCGACAUGCGAGCACCCAUAGUCAACUCAUCUCCAAGUACACAUGCGCCUAGACUAGCGGAUUACCGCUGUCCACUCCUUUAUAUGCGGACGACGCGGUAAUUCUAUCUUAUACACGUGUUGGACUAACCAGAGCUCUGAAGAUCUUUGCCACGUAUUGUCAACUCAACCAAUUAACCAUCAAUCAUGCUAAAUCUAAGAUUCUGAUUUUCGCCAGAAGUCGGAGAUUAUACGAAUGGAAGCUUGGUGGAGCAAAAAUAGAGCAAGUCCUAAAAUUUCAAUACCUAGGAGUUAUUUUUCAAUACAAUUUGGGGUGGAAAGCACAUAUUCAACACCUACUUAAUAAGGCCAAAACUCUGUCAUAUGCGCUCCUCCGAUUUUUCUUUUCGGAUGGAGCUUUGCAUGUUCCUCGGCCCUAAAGGUGUUCAAGGCAAAAGUGGUUCCCGUGCUUGCUUAUGCUGCCCCGCUCUGGGUCGUGAUGACAGACCUUGCUCCUCUUGAGACUUUGCAAACCAAUUCCUACGUCGGCUCCUAAUGCUCCCCUGUGCGUAAGCAACGCAGCCAUGCGUUUAGAAUUGAGGAUCGCAUCCUUAGAAACCUGCCUGUGGAAGCAAGUCUUCAAUUAUUGGUUAUCAUUGUGGCAUAGAUUACCAGACCAUUACCUUGCCCAAUGCUUAUGGCGAGAUGAAUCCCCAGCCUUUGGACCAGUAGAAUUCAUGCCAAACUCCUGAGCUAUGGAAUCUCUCCUUAGAUUCCCUAAAACUAGAUCAAAUCACUGCUCAAAGACUGAUCCGCCAAAGACUGGAUGACAUCGAUUUACAGCAAAAUUAUAUGCUGGGGGGAGGUGUUUGUUCGCCCCAGAACAUUGGUAUCACUUUAACUUAUUGCGUUCCAUCAUACCUCUCCUCCCUUUCGACUGUUGCCCAUAGGCUGGCCUUCACCAAAGCGAGGUUUAAUGUUUUUCCCUCCAAUGUCCUGAGACAUAGAUUCUCAAAGGGCCAAACCUCCGCCAUGUGCGAAUGUGAUAAGGAGAUGCCGGAGUCGCUUCAGCACAUUAUGUUCACUUGCCCCUUAUUUAAGGUGCCACGGGCAAACUUGUUGGGAUCAAUCAUACAGAAAUUAGAGGGUACUCCACCAAAAUUCCACCUUGCCCAAAUCUUGCAGGAUAAGGAUGCCCAUACGACCCUGAAAGUGGCUAGGUUCCUGGUCGCUGUCCUUACCCAAAAGCGCCGCCAAGGAGCACCACAAGCUAAUUAAGGCGUAGUAUGCCAUUCCAUCUUAUAGUAGCUUAUUGUUAUAGUAUUGUUUUAGCGGCUGUUUUUUUCCCAUGUGCACAGGCUGUUAUUUAUGUCUUGUUUUUAUCUGUAUGGGCCUACGGCCGUAAUAAAUUAAUAUUAUUAUUAUUAUUAUUAUUAUCAUCAUUGCACGCGGUGUGGUGGCCUUUCUGAGCUUUUUUAAGAGUUUGCUGGAUUUUUGAAGCUUUUCCAAAACUUCUUUUGCAGCUGUUUGGUAAAUUAAACUUUUAAAACUUUUUUUGGGGGUUUUGGAUUUUGGGUUGGGGUGUUUAGAAUUCAAGGACUUGGUGUUGGGGAGGGGUUUGCAAGAAUCUGGGAGCUUGUGUGGUUUUUUUCUGCAUUUUUAUGAUUUUCUGUGACCAUUGGGCCAUGUUUAUUUUUUUUUUAAAAAAAAUCUGGGUUUGAAUUUUUGAAUUUCUGUGUGCUGGGUGGAUGGGGGAACAGCUGGGGAGGGGUUUGCAAGAAUCUGGGAGCUUGUGUGUUUUUUUCUGCAUUUUUAUGAUUUUCUGUGACCAUUGGGCCAUGUUUAUUUUUUUUUAAAAAAAAAAUCUGGGUUUGAAUUUUUGAAUUUCUGUGUGCUGGGUGGAUGGGGAACAGCUGGGGAGGGGUUUGCAAGAAUCUGGGAGCUUGUGUGGUUUUUUUUUUUUUUGAAUUUUUAUUGUUUUAGGUGACCAUUGGGCCAUGUUGUUUUUUUUUUUAAAAAAAAAUUUGGGUUUUGAAUUUGUGUGUGCUGGGUGGCUGGGGGAACAGCUGGGGAGGGGUUUGCAGGAAUCUGGGAGCUUGUGUGGUUUUUUCUGCAUUUUUAUGGUUUUCUGUGACCAUUGGGCCAUGUUGUUUUUUUGAAAAAAAUUUCUGGGUUUUGAAUUUCUGUGUGCUGGGUGGCUGGGGGAACAGCUGGGGAGGGGUUUGCAGGAAUCUGGGAGCUUGUGUGCUUUUUUUUUGAAUUUUUAUGGUUUUCUGUGACCACUGGGCCAUGUUGUUGUUUUUUGAAAAAAAUUUCUGGGUUUUGAAUUUCUGGGUGCUGGGUGGGUGGGGUAACUGGUGGGGUGGGGUUUGCAGGAAUCUGGGUGCUUGUGUGGUUUUUGUGAAUUUUCAUGGUUUUCUGUGACCAUUGGGCCAUGUUGGUUUUUUUUGAAAAAUUUUCUGGGUUUUGAAUUUCUGUGUGCUGGGUGGCUGGGGGAACAGUUGAGGAGGGGUUUGCAACAGUUGGGGAGGGGCUGGGGGAACAGUUGAGGUUUUUGAAUACUUUAGUGAUUUUUAAAGCUUUCCCAAAACUUCUUUUGCAGCCAUUUGAGGAUUUUGAAGACUUUGGUGAUUUGCAGCCAUUUCGUAAGUUAAACUUUUAAAACUUUUUUGGGGGUUUUUGGAUUUUGGGGUGUUUGGAAUUCAAGGACUUGGUUCUGGGUUUGAAUUGCUGAUUUUUUCUGAGUUUACAAAGGCAACAGCUGUGCUGCCAUGGGACCCAAGAAGACUGCUGCUGCUGCGGAGGCCGGCGAGAGGAAGGAGGUGACGCUGGAGAUGAAGGAGAUCAUCCGGAAGCACGACGGUGGAAUGCGUGUGACGGACCUCGCCAGGGAGUACGGCAGGAACCCAUCGACCAUCGGGACCAUCCUGAAGAUGAGGGAGAAGCGAACACUUUUGAUACAACGGUCAUGUUGCCUCUCAGGGAGGUGCUGAAAAGGCGGAUGAAGCAGCAGACCAUGGACAGGUUCCUCAGCAAGAAGCAAAGAGUGGAAGAGGAACCUUCUUCGAGUGGUCCCCCAGAGUCUUAGAAAAUGUAAUGUACCCUUUUUGGAUUUUUAAAUGUUUUUCCUGUCAUGUUUAGCAACUUAAUUUAUUGUUCCUUCAAUUUUGAUAUGCUCUUUAAAGUAUGUGUGACUUUAAAGAGCAGUUAAUAAACUCUUGUUGUACCAAAUUUGGCUUUGUUUGGACUUUUUGACCAUAGGAACGCAUUAAUUGAAUUUCAAUGCAUUCCUAUGGGAAACCGUGCUUCGCAAGACGAAAAAUUCGCUAGACGAAAAAACUCGCGGAAUGAAUUAAUUUCGUCUUGCGAGGCACCACUGUAUCUAUUAACAGGAUUUAACACAGGUGAAAAGAACUAUUUUUUGACAGUAUUCUUGUUGAUAUUUUCACCCCUUCCCAUUGCAAGAAUCUCCUGAUCUGAUGUUUUGAGAAAGGAGCGGGCGGAAACUGCUCUGCUACUCUUCCGCUCCUUCCUGACUGACUGCCUGCCUCUGUAUGUGGAGAGUCUUAUCUAUGUAGUGACUAGAUGGCUGAGUGGGAGCUGUAACGCUCAUGCAAGCCAGGAGUUCAUUAGUUUGUAGUAGCUAUUAGAAAUAAAAGGAAUUAUCCUUCACAGCUAGCUUGUGCGUUAUUUAUACUCUGCUGAGUCUGGUGCUCACAAUGCACAGUUGUGGGUCCAAUGCACUGGGACCUGCUUUCCAGGAUUGGAAGGUCUCCCAAAGUGCUCCAGUCGCCUAGCCCAUUCCAGGCAGAACCAGUUAUUGAGCCCAGUCGCUAACAUCGGUUGAAAGACGUACUGACAAUUCUUCCCCUUUUACCUUCUUUGACUGCAGAGGAAAAUUUGGGGGUCAUUUAAAAGCAUCCAAAUGGCUUUAGGAUCGCUUUCCUGCAACGUUUUUCUGACUAUGUUUUUCGUACCUAUGUAUGUGUGCCCACUCUGUAUUUAGGAACGUUUUUUUGUUUUGACAUUUAUAAUUGGAGCACAGGGUGUGAGUGAAGUCAGCGGCAGAGCUUCAUGCUCCAGCACCGGGGGGCGGAGAGCAGGCGGGGGCAGGGCUGGCGCACGUCCCGGGGGCGCAGCCACGAUGGCACCCCAAUGGGAUCGCGCUGCUGGGGGCAAUGCGCUCCCCCCACACGCCUCUUCUUCCGCCAGUGUGUGAAGUGCAGUUCCUUGGUGACAUCUUCCCAAGCAUUCAUAUGGUUUCUCCCCUGUAUGGAAUCUCUCAUGUGGUUGACUAGGAGGGAUCCCCUUCCCCAAAAUCCUGAAUUUGGAAGAACGCAGGCUAACGGCUUUAAUGGCUUGCUUGCUUCCCCUUUUAAGGGACUCAAGAGUCCCAAAGUUUGUUAUUGCUCAGAGAAUCAGCUGUGGACUCCAGUGAAAGAAAGGCUGAUCUUUUAUUGUUCUGUUGCAACAGGUCACCCUCAUAGGAGAGGUGCCAGAACAUCUAGACCAUGGGAGUGUUUGUUUAAAAUCUAAAACAGCUUAUCUGGUAUUCCUUUCUUUGAAUUUGUGCCGUUUAGGUUUGUAAACCUUUUUGUAAAAGCAGCACUAGAACUUUCACAGUUGAGUCCUCAACCCUUUAUUACUGUGUUUUGCUUUCUUCAAGCUGGGCUUUGUUUAAAACUUGCCAUUUAGGUUUUUCAAAUCUUUUUUGUAAAUUCAGUAUUAGAAACUGUACUUGAGUCCUCUAUCCUUUAUUACUGCACUUUGCUUUACCUUGGUUGAGCUAGGAUUAUAAUACUUCAGAAUUUUAGGGGGUUCUAUCCCUUUUUUUUGAAUUUUGGUCAUUUAAAGUUUAUGAUUUUUCGAUUUCCUUCUGAGGAAAACUGAAUAGUUCAGUGAAACGAGGUUUGUAGCCGGCAUCCUGUUAAGGCUUUGUUCAGUUUUAGGUUUUUCUAUUUUUUUCCCCUUAAGCUUUUUGAUUUUUAUUAUUUAGUUUAUUUCCACAGCUAAUAUUUCUAGUCGAUUACUUCUUGUUUCAGGGAUUUUCACAGUAUCUUUUUGUUUUGUGCAAUUUCUCAGUUCUGUGAUUUUUUUUUUCUAUUAGAGGAACAAAUAAAAGCCUAACAGCAGUACUGGAGGCAUGUCAUAGAGGUAAUUAUUGCCGUUAAUAUGCACUCCAGUAGAACGAGGCUUACAAUUCAGAAGAGACAAUGAGCACUUUGGAUCUCCGAAUAAUGGCAAUUAUCUUGGUCUUUUAAAACUAGUGGCAAAAUUUGAUCCAUUUUUACUUGCUCUUAUCGGUAUGGACAUUCUGGAUCAAGCAAUCCCUCUUAUUUGUCAAAAACUAUGUGAGGAAAUUGUUCAGCUCAUGGCAAAAAAAGUUAAGGAUGAAACUCUGGCUGAUGUGAGAAAGACUGAAUAUUUCAAGCUUCUCAGUAGAUUCCACUCCUGACAUUUCACAUACUGAUCCGCUGACUUUAAAUUAUCAGGUAUGUAUCACCUGAAGAUCGUUUGCCAACACAGAUUUACAGUUGAACACUAAUUCAGCCGUGCUUUUUCCUAUUUUACUACUGAGCUUGAAAUUGACUUUAGAAAAUGCUGCGGGCAGUCUUAUGACAACGCUGCCAACAUGGCUGGCAAGUACAACGAUAUGCAGUAAUAAAUCAUUAAAAAAACCAAUUUGCAAAAUUUAUUCCAUGCGCAGGUCACUCUUUAAAAUCUGGUGGGCAGUUCAGCUGUGGAUUGCUGCCUUGAUGCAGGGAACUGUUUUGGCAUUAUCAAUGAAAUUUGUACCUUCUUUUCAUCCUCCACAAAGAGACGGGCAGUUCUAAAAUCGUUUUUGCCACCUCAGUCUAAAGUGCCUAAACAUUUGUCAGACUCUAGGACGGGACGCACACGCAAAGCCACAGCAGCCGUUUUGGAAAGUUACAGUGCUAUCAUUGAUGCCCUCCGUAAUUUGUUCUGAUGUUAAUGGGAAGAGGGAGACCAAGCACAGAGUUAACAGUCUCCUGCAGAAAAUGGAAGAACUGGAAUUUGUGUUUAUGCUGCGUUCUUGGACCCGGGUUCUAGGUCAUUUUCACAAGGUCAGCAAAGGCCUUCAAAAACCAGACCUGUUACUGAGUUCUUGUGCGAGUUUCUACAGUUCACUCCUGGAUCUCUUUAAGGAAAAUAAGGAAUGAUUUUGAUGAGCUUGAGAAACAAGCAAAAGCCACUUUGCCAAAUGUCAACAACAAAACAAGGAGACGAAGAGUGAGGGAACGGCAAAGAAAUGACAGAAGUCCACCUGAUGCCUUAGAUGCACUUUCUUCAAGAGAUAGGUUUAGGAUAAAAUCCUUUAUUCCUACAUUAGAUGCCAAUUUGAAGCCAAUUUAAAAAGAAACAGUACUGCGUAAAGUGAUGUUGCACAAUUAUUUGCCAUUCUUGCUAAUUUGACAGCAUCGAGGCAAGAAGUUCAGCAAGUUGUUGAACCGUUGUUGGAAGCAUACCCACAGAACAUAUUGACCUGAGACUUCUGGAUGAACUUUUGCACUUUCAACUGUAUGUGACACAAAGCCAUAGGCUUACGGCAGAGCACUAUCUCAUACAGACCUUUAUCAAAUUAUAUACAAGGGAAAAUUCAGAUAGCCUUUCCUAAUGUGGAAGCAAUCUUGCAGCUAUUUCUUAGCCUUAUGGUCACCAACUGCUCAGGAGAGGAGAAAUUUUCCAGAGACCUCACAACUGGAGUAGCCUAGGGCCUUCUCUUCAUCUAAAUCUGGCCCUGUGAAACACAACUACUACUAGCUCCUUGGCGACAUCUUCCCAAGCAUCGAUAUGGUUUCUCCCCUGUAUGGAAUCUCUUGUGUGGUUGACUAGGAGGGAUCCCCCUCCCCAAAACCCUGAGCUUGGAAGAGAGCACAGCUACUUGCUGGCUUCUCCCCACUCGCACUGGCUGCUCUGAGAAAUGUGUUUCACCCUUCAGAAGCACAAAUUGCUCAGCCCCGGGAACAAGCAUCGAACAGAUCAACGUUGGAAGGAGUUGGGGGAACAGACUGGAACUGUUUCUUCCAGAAAUCCAGCCCGUUCCCCCGAGCACAUUGUCUAGGGUGCAGAAAGACACACACCCCACAAACAGCAUAUUGUGGGAUGUGUUACAUCAGUACAGUCAAUUACAACACACUUUACUUCCUAGAGUGGACAGAGGGAUGUGUAACUUCCUGUUCCUCUAUAAAAGCAGAGUCACACAGCCAUUUUGUCUCUAUUCGAUUCAACUGUUACGUCUCAUUCAUUUUGUUGUCUGAGGGCUCUCAACCAGCAGAACUUGGGCCCAUCCUCACAAAGGAUGUCAAGCCACGUUAUAUGUUUGUAACCUGAAGCUUAAAAAGCCUGACUUUCUAGAUGUGUACUGUGAACAGCUUGUGAGUAAACUUACUGUUAUACUUUUAAAGACAGACUCUUAAGUCUUUAUUGUAUUUUAGGAGGGAGAAAAGGGGACACCAAGAGCAACCCACCUGGGCAAACCAGAUUGGAUUAGUCAUUUUGCAGAGAUUCAAACCAAUCUAUCAACAACUCGCUUCCGUGAAAAUAGAGGGGAUUUGCUCUGCUACGUCACUCACUAGCAUGAGUGAAGGAAGGAAGGAAGGGUACUUCAACAAUAUUUCCUUACCUAUUAUCCCAAACAUCCCCACACGUUAAGUGAAGAACUCAGUGACACAAAGCCUCAAGCAAUAACUCCAAAUCCAACCCCCAGAUAGCCACAUUGUACAGUGACACCAAGAUCAGAGAAAGUCAGUGAGCAGGAAGGCUUCCAUCUCUUGGAGAGGCACCAAGGGUCCUCGCAGGCAGUUAUCCCACCCUGACAGGAGCCCCAUUCUUGUGUUUGGCCUACUUCUGUUCCUGCCUUGCUCAGAAAAUAGCCCAGCCUUGGCACAGCAACAGGAAGCAAAACAAAAUGGCUGGCAGGAAGAGCCCCAUUGGCCCUAGACCUAAAGGUUUCUAGAAUGGUGAACAGCUUGGUUUUCUUUCUCUUUUCCCCUUUGACUUUUGGAAGUUGUGUUCUUUGGAGGCAAUAUUUAAAAACCACACGAAUUUAUAGGGAAGGACAUCUCCCGCUCCAGCUACUGUGUGUUAUGGGUGGGAACAGAGAAGCGACCCCCAUCAGACGUGUGGAUUCGUGGGCUGCAUACAGGCGCAAUGCUCAGGGAGCAGGGCUAGGGGGCAGGAGACUCUUUCCUCCAAGGAAGGACCGAUGGGCCUGAAGGAACCGGCACCACCUGAACUGAUGAGAGGCCCAUUAGACUGCAGAAGCCCACACUUGGAAGCAGAGAGCAGGAGGGAAUCUGCUACGCAACUGAGGAUCUAAAAGGACAUGCUUUCAGAAGCCCCAACCAUCGAGACAAUGCAAUGCAUGUUGAAGUAACGUGCCGAUUGUCCAAUCAAAACGACCGGGAGGAAAAGGAUCUGGUGGACAGAAGCAUCCAAGUUUUGCUGGCACGGGGAUUAAGGCUCAACAACAUGGGUUGGAAUUGCAGGUGGAAAAACUCCAGAAUAAAAAUGCUACUGGUUUUGCACAGGAUCUGAGGAGCCAAGGACGCAAGAAAGCAGAAGCCAGCACCAAGGCCUCAUUUGGCAAAAUUAUGCAGAAGUCAAGGCUCUAUGAAGCAGAGAAACCAAGUCAAGAGACAGAUACGCCUUAACAAGUCGCAUACCAAAAAGGUGAAGGGGUUCACAGCCCUACUCAAGAGGAGCAACCAGGACAAACAUGCCCAAGGCUGAACUGGACUACUGGAACAAGGAAGGAGCACUUCUUUCAAACUCUCUAGUGCCCCCGCGGCACCGGGCAAAGUGAGCAAAGGCCUUGGGCACAGAGCAGGCACUGGGAGCGCCGUAGAGAUUCCAUAGAAGAUAAUGUAAAAGGCCAAUAAAUGGCCGGGAGACUGUUUAGGAAAGAGAUUUGGCGACCAGCAGCAUGUUCCUUGCUGACACACGCAUUAAGAUACAACAACGUGGGUACGAAUUGCAGGUGGAAGAUCUGGAUGAAUCCACAAUCAACAACUCUCCGAGAUUUGCAGAAUAUCUUAGGGACGAAGCACGCAAGAAAGCAAAGGCCAUCGCCAAGCCCUAUUGCAGAAAGAUCUACUCCUACCACACCUGCACUUGCAACUGACUCUGCCUCAACGUCUGAUACUCCCCCGGAAGAGACGUUUCAUGAAGAUGUAGUGGAUGGUCCUUCUCUGUGGCCUCAAAUAGUUCCAGAGAAGUUGUUUUUAAUAGCUCAUGACUAUUAUUUAUCUUUUGAAGCAAUCCGAAUACUAUUCUGUCAUUUUAGAUUGCACUCCUGAUGUCUCACACAAGGAAAAACCUACUGUUAGGUUUGUACACAUUAACCCAUCAUCAAAGAGCAUUUUUAAGGCUUUUUUCCAGUUACUGACACUACUGUACAAGGACAAGUGACGUUUUGCUGGAUUUUUUAAAAUCUUCAUAUAUCGAAUUAGACGACAUGCAAGGUCAAGGGUAUGACAACGGCGCAAAUAUGAGGCAAAAAUAUAGGCCUCAAAAAAAAUAAAAUCUUGGCCAUAAAUCCAUCUGCUUUCUACAUUCCUUGUGUGGCUCACAGCCUCAACUUAGUAGUGAAUGAUGCCGCUAAAAGCUCACUGGAAAUUACUUCAGGAAAUAUAUGUAUUCUUUUCCGGGUCAACGUCACGUUGGCAAAUCCUCAUGAACCAAGUGCCCCCUUUCACCUUAAGACCAUUAUCAAACACGCAAUGGGGAAGUAGAGGCGUUGAAAGCACUUCCGUUUUAAUAUGGAAAAGGUUUACAACACCUUAUAUUCUCAGGUAACAAAAAUGGUAGUGACACAAGGAACAUGGCAAGUUCAUUGAUGUUGAAAUUGAAGUCUUUCAAAUUCAUUUGUUCUUUAAUGACGUGGUAUAACGUAUUACUGAAAAUUAUUGUUAGUAAAACCUUACAAGUCUGUCGUUCUUCCGGAAGCAGUUAAAAUGAUAGAGCAGGUCAAAAAUGACUUGGCUUACAAUACAGGAAGACCUUUCAUUGCCUACAGCCACCCAAUCUUAAACAACUCCUCACCCACAAUAAUACAGCAACCAGACGCAUGGACACUGGUACCAGAGCCUGCAAUAAACCCAGAUGCCAACUUUGCUGCCACAUCCACCCAGACAACACCAUCACUGGACCCAACAUCCAACACACCAUCUCAGGCCUGUUUAAUUGCUCCUCUUCUAACAUUGUGUAUGCCAUCAAAUGCCAGCAGUGCCCUUCAGCUACGCCAAAGGAUAAAUGGACAUAAAUCUGACAUCAGGAAUCACAAGACAAGAACAGCCAGGAGAACACUUCAAUCUCCCAGGACAUUCAAUACAGGAUCUCAAAGCAGCAGUCUUAAUACACAAGAAUUACAGAAAGAGAAGUUGCUGAAUUACAACUUAUUACUAAACUGAUAUGGAGGGACCUGGUCUGAAUAGAAAUAUUGGAUUCUUGUCUCAUUACACAUGCUAAAGCUGUUUUUGGUCAUCUGCACACUAUCCCCUGCUUCUUCCUGUGGGACUAAUUGCAGUCAACAGGUUUACUAUACCCAUUGAAUCAAUCACCCAUCUCCUACUACCCUUCUGAGAAAUACCCCACCCCACCUUCCCACUAUAUAUAAGUGGGAAGGGUCUGAUGACUUCUGUUUCAGUGUCUGAAUAAGUGUGCAUGCACACAAAAGCUUACUCCCAGAACAAGUUGGUCUCAGUGCCACUGGACAAUUAUUAUUUUUUUAAUCGUGUAGACUCCACGUUUGACGAUGUUGUUAGAAGCUAUAUCAAUUGCUGAGUAAAUAGAAUGUGAAACUGAAUUUACAUACACCGCAUGAUCUUAUGCCAGGAAACGAUUUUUCAGUUGAGUCUACCCAUGAGCCAAUUACAGAUCCACAGAAAAACUUUAAAUUUUUAUUUGUUGGACACAGCAAUCACAAAAUUAAAGAUUUGAACUACUAAGUGAACACAAUGACCAUUUUUCAUUUUUACAAAAUAUAGAUAAAUGGAGAAAAUUAGAGACAUGCCAGAAAAGAGCAGUGUUUCAAUUUGCAACAGAAAUUUGACUGCCAAAAGGGGGGCUGAUAUAGACGGAGAUUUAUUUCACGAACUAGAACUAUUACCAAUUUUUUUCAAGACACAAAUCCAGUGGAUGUUUUCAAUUAUAUAUAGUCAAAUAAUUUGACAUCCAAUAUUUUCUAACUUGUCCAUAUCACUACAGGUAACAGUAGCUGAAGGUGAAAGAUCAUUUUCGAAAUUGAAAUUAACAAAAAUUAUUUAAGGUCAACUAUACGACUCAAGGAUCUGUUCAAGAAAAUUGGAGAUAUGAAAGGAACAUUUCAUACAAAGAUUACCAUAAUAAAGUACAAAAGUGGUAAGGACCUAACAGAAGCAGAAGACAUCAAGAAGGGGUGGCAAGAAUACAGAGGAAUUUUACCAGAAAGAUAUGGAUGUCUCAUACACCCCAGGUAGCAGUUGCCGACCUUGAGCCAGACAUCCUGGAGAGUGAAGUCAAAUGGGCCUUAGAAAGCACUGCUAGUAACAAGGCCGGUGGAAGUAAUGGUAUUCCAGCUGAACUGUUUAAAAUUUUAAAAGAUGAUGCUGUUAAGGUGCUACACUCAAUCUGCCAGCAAGUUUGGAAAACUCAGCAAUGGCCAGAGAAUUGAAGAUCAGUCUACAUCCCAAUCCCCAAGAAGGGCAGUGCCAAAGAAUGCUCCAACUACCGCACAAUUGCACUCAUUUCACACGCUAGCAAGGUUAUGCUUAAAAUUCUACAAGGCAGGCUUAAGCAGUAUGUGGACCGAGAACUCCCAGAAGUGCAAGCUGGAUUUAGAAGAGGCAGAGGAACCAGAGACCAAAUUGCAAACAUGCGCUGGAUUAUGGAGAAAGCUAGAGAGUUCCAGAAAGACAUCUACUUCUGCUUCAUUGACUAUGCAAAAGCCUUUGACUGUGUCGACCACAGCAAACUAUGGCAAGUUCUUAGAACCGGAUAUGGAACAACUGAUUGGUCAGUACGGCAAGGCUGUAUAUUGUCUCCCUGCUUAUUUAACUUAUAUGCAGAAUUCAUCAUGCGAAAGGCUGGGCUGGAUGAAUCCCUAGCCGGAAUUAAGAUUGCCGGAAGAAAUUAUCAACCAACUCAGAUACAGUGGUGCCCCGCAAGACGAAUGCCUCGCAAGACGAAAAACCCACUAGACGAAAGGGUUUUUCGUUUUUUGAGGUGCUUCGCAAGAUGAAUUUCCCUAUGGGCUUGCUUCACAAGACGAAAAUGUCUUGCAAGUUUGUUUCCUUUUUCGUAAAACCGUUAAUACCCAGGGUGCAUUGCUUGAAGAGGUGCAGUUGCGACUUGACUUCGAGGAGCAACUCAUAGCACGCGGUGUGGUAGCCUUUUUUGAGGUUUUUGAAGACUUUGCUGAUUUUUGAAGCUUUUCCAAAACUUCUUUUGCAGCCAUUUGGUAAGUUAAACUUUUAAAACUUUUUGGGGGGGUUUUGGGUUGGGGUGUUUGGAAUUCAAGGACUUGGUGUUGGGGAGGGGUUUGCAAGAAUCUGGAAGCUUGUGUGUUUUUUUCUGCAUUUUUAUGAUUUUCUGUGACCAUUGGGCCACUCUGCUGUUGUUUUUUUAAAAAAAAUCUGGGUUUGAAUUUCUGUGUGGUGGGUGACUGGGGGAACAGUUGGGGAGGGGUUUGCAAUUUCUGUGUGGUGGGUGGCUGGGGGAAUAGUUGAGGUUUUUGAAGACUUUGGUGCUUUUUGAAGCUUUUCCAAAACUUCUUUUGCAGCCAUUCGGUAAGUUAAACUUUUAAAACUUUUUUGGAGGGUUUUGGAUUUUGGGUUGGGGUGUUUGGAAUUCAAGGACUUGGUUCUGGGUUUUUUGGGGGGGGGGGUUGCGCAGGUAGGAGCUGUGCUGCCAUGGGACCCAAGAAGACUGCUGCUGCAGAGGCCGGCGAGGGGAAGAAGGAGAAAGUUACGCUGGAAAUGAAGCACGACGGUGGAAUGCGUGUGACAGACCUCGCCAGGGAGUACGGGAGGAAUCCAUCGACCAUCGGGACCAUCCUGAAGAUGAGGGAGAAGAUCCUUGCGACUGAUGCAGCCAAGGGAGUCACCAGGAUCGUGAAGAACCGCCCAGCUGUUCUGGAGGAGGUGGAGAAGUUGCUGCUCAUCUGGUUAGAAGAGAAGCAGCGUGCAGGGGACACAGUGGCUGAGGCCGUCAUUUGUGAGAAGGCCUUGUUGGGAUUCAAGCCUUUAUCAGGAGAAACUGGCCACUCUCCAGGCACCCGGCUUGAUCUCCUGUUGACCUCCCUGUCUGCAUUCCCCAGCAGGAUCCAGGCAGAGGUCGCAAUAGGCGAUCCUUCUCAGAGUGAGAAGAACACCCCCCCUCUUUCCUGCCCCCCCCCCAGGCAGGGGAAAGAGAUAGACAGAAACAUUUACAUGCCUUUAUUUCUGUCUUUGCAGCGUUACAAAAAUCAUGACUGCUCUCUUCAAACUCCUGCAGUCGAGAGACAAACUCCUCCUGUACUUCCUGUACAGCUCAUAUUACACUCUGAGCUAAUUCCGGUGCCCUCUGCACUGUGAAUUGACUGUCCCUCUGUUUCCCACGGAACAGUCCCAACAUUCCCAUUAUGUUUUGCUUUCAAGCUACCAGCUCGCGGCCGCAUUGCUUCUAUAUCGUAACAGGCCUAGGCCUUGCACGCAGACCUCGUCCGGGAACAGCCAGGAACCUCAGGCGAGCCAGAAGUCUUCAAGGCAAGCAGAGGCUGGUUUGACCGGUUCAAGACAAGAUCUGGAAUCCACAGCAUGGUCAGGCAUGGAGAGGCUGCCAGUUCUGAUGUUUCUGCGGCUGAAGACUUUGCAGCGGAGUUCCUGGAGGUUGUGAAGACGGAGGGCUACGUUCCACAGCAGGUCUUCAACUGCGACAAGACCGGGCUGUUUUGGAAGAGGAUGCCCAAAAGGACUUUCAUCACACAGGAGACCAAGUUGCCUGGCCACAAGCCCAUUAAGGACCGUCUGACCCUGCUGUUCUGUGCCAACGCAAGCGGCGACCUGAAGAUCAAGCCCCUGCUGGUGUACCACUCGGAGAACCCACGGGCCUUCAAGAAACACAAGGUCGACAAGGAGCAGCUGAGUGUCACGUGGUGAUCCAACAGUAAGGCUUGGGUCACCCGUGUGCUGUUUGUGGACUGGGUCAAUCUUGCUUUUGGCCCUGCUGUCAAACAGUACCUGCUGGACAACGACCUGCCGCUGAAGGCUUUGCUUCUGAUGGACAAUGCUCCUGCUCAUCCUAAAGGCCUUGAGGAGGACUUGUUGGAGGAGUUCAGCUUCAUCAGCAUCAUGUUCCUGCUGCCUAACACCACGCCACUGCUCCAGCCGAUGGAUCAGCAGGUCAUUGCCAAUUUCAAAAAACUCUACACCAAGGAGCUUUUCAGGCGAUGCUUCGAGGUGACUGAUUGCACCACCAUCACCCUGUGGGAAUUCCGGAAGGACCACUUCGACAUCGUCACCCGCUUGAAGAUGAUCACCACGGCCUGGAACGGGAUCAGCCAGAAAAAUUUGAAUUGUACUUGGCGCAGCCUGUGGCCGGACUGUGUGGCACCAAGUGACUCUGAUGCACCAGAGUCAACAGUGGUGCAGGACAUUGUUUCCUUGGGGAGGACCAUGGGCCUGGAGGUCACAGAGGACGACGUCAGCGAGCUGGUGGAGGAGCACGACCACAAGCUGACCACCCAGGAGCUGGUCGAACUGCAGGCCGAGGCUGCGCAGGAGCAGGCCUCGCUGGAAGAGGAGGAAGCAACUGAGGAACGGCUGUCCUCCAAAGAACUGAGGGACAUUUGCCUGAAGUGGAAGGAUGUGCAGGCUUUUGCACAGCGGCACCACCCUGACAAGCACGUGGCACAUGACCUUGCGAACACUUUUGAUACGAGGUCAUGUCGCCUUUCAGGAGGUGCUGAAAAGGCGGAUGAAGCAGCAGACCAUGGACAGGUUCUUCAGCAAGAAGCAAAGAGUGGAAGAGGAACCUUCUUCGAGUUGUCCCCCAGAGUCUUAGAAAAUGUACUGUACACUUUGUUGAUUUUUAAAUGUUUUUCUGUCAUGUUUAGAAACUUAAUUUAUUGUUCCUUCAGUUUUUGAAAUGCUCUUUACAGUAUGUGUGACUUUAAAGAGCACUUAAUAAACUCUUGUUGUACCAAAUUUGGCUUUGUUUGGACUUUUUUUGACCAUAGGAACACAUUAAUUGAAUUUCAAUGCAUUCCUAUGGGAUUUCGUGCUUCGUAAGACGAAAAAUUCGCUAGACGAAAAAACUCGCGGAACGAAUUAAUUUCGUCUUGCGAGGCACCACUGUACGCAGUUGACACAACCUUGAUGGCAGAAAGUGAGGCAGAAUUAAAGAACCUUUUAAUGAGGGUUAAAGAGGAGAGUGCAAAAUAUGGUCUGAAGCUCAAAAUCAAAAAUACGAAAAUCAUGGCCACUGGCCCCAUCACCUCCUGGCAAAUAGAAGGGGAAGAAAUGGAGACAGUUUCUUGGGCUCCAUGAUCACUGCAGAUGGUGACAGCAGUCACAUUAAAAGACGCCUGCUUCUUGGGAGGAAAGCAAUGACAAACCUAGACAGCAUCUUAAAAAGCAGAGACAUCACCUUGCCAACAAAGGUCCGUAUAGUAAAAGCUAUGGUUUUCCCAGUAGUGAUGUAUGUAAGUGAGAGCUGGACCAUAAAGAAGGCUGAUCGCCAAAGAAUGGAUGCUUUUGAAUUCUGGUGCUGGAGGAGACUCUUGAGAGUCCCAUGGACUGCAAGAAGAUCAAACCUCUCCAUUCUGAAGGAAAUCAGCCCUGAGUGCUCACGGGACGAACAGAUCAUGAAGCUGAGGCUCCAAGACUUUGGCCACCUCAUGAGAAGAGAAGACUCCCUGGAAAAGACCCUGAUGUUGGGAAAGAUGGAGGGCACAAGGAGAAGGGGACGACAGAGGACGAGAUGGUUGGACAGUGUUCUCGAAGCUACCAGAAUGAGUUUGACCAAACUGCGGGAGGCAGUGGAAGACAGGAGGGCCUGUCCAUGGGGUCCCGAAGAGUCGGACACGACUAAACAACAUGACUCAAGAAAGAUUGACAAACCUAGCCAGGAUCAGCAUUGAAAAGGAAGUAGCAAUAUAUACAGGGACCCUACCCAGAUGCUUACUGUUACGUAUUCAGACUGGCUGCAGUUCUCACUCUGGGCCACCAAGUUUGCAAAUGCUUGAUUGAGAGUUGCUUUCACCGAUUGGGUAUUUAUAGUUGGAAUUCGUUACUGUUACAAGUUAUUGAGCAUUAUAUAAGGCAGCCAGCUUCACUGUUCAGAGACACUUAAGAGCAGUGCUAACUGCUGUUAAUAAAGAGCUGUUGCUUAAAAGAGCUGGGUCUUGUCGCCCAUCUUUCCCACUAUACAACAUUUACAACAUCUGCAGGCGCUUUCAUUUUGUUUUAGCCUGGCCUGUCACCGUUCUCAACUCUCCACGUUUUAAAUCGCGGCUGUAAAUGGUUUUUCAGAAUAAAAAUAAAAUAAAAUGGAAACCCCUUUGAGGUUCUCUCUGCGAACAAGCAGUGUUUCAAUCUUAGGAGACCCACCGGGCAGAGCUGCCCCUGCCAUCUGAACUGGAAGGGGAAGAUGAUUUUGACACUGUAUAAUUGGGGCGCAGGGUUUGUGUGAAGCGCAUCUACUACUAGUUCCUUGGUGACAUCUUUCCAAACAUUCAUAUGGUUUCUCCCCUGUAUGGAAUCUCUCAUGUGGUUGAUUAGGAGGGAUUCCACCCUCCCCAAUUCACGAGUUAACACAGGCCCCUGGGGGCCAUCACAAGCAAGGCAUGGCAAUUCUCUUCAGCCUGCGUUUCAGCCCGGAACUAACUCUUUCCAAGCAUGGUGAGGAAAGAAGGAAUUAUCCAUUCUACCUUCUUACUUUCCACAAGUAUCUGCCUGCUGUGAAUCCCUCACGCCCCAGCUCCCAAGAGGACGAGAUCAAUUUUCUAAGGGUUAUUUGUUGGGGAGAUCGCGAUUAGCCCCUAUCCACUUUAAACAGUGUAUAUGCCGAAAAGGUGGAGUUUACAGCCCUGUAAAAGCAGCAAGCAAUCAGAAAAACACACCCAGGGCCCAAACUACAGGAUUAAGCGGCACUUCUUUAAAAAUAUCCAGUCUCCCCCUUGGCACCAGGCAAAGCAGAUGGAGACCACAGGGCAAAAUAGGCACUGGGUGCUUCGUAGAAAUUAAGAAAAUAUUGUUUGUACGUGAUGCCAAUAAAAGGUUUGAUGAUGUUGAUGAAUUUAAGAAAAUAAAGUUGUAAUAUGUGGGGGUCCAGAUCGCUGAGCAAGCAAUGGCUGGAAUGUGGAAAUAUGAGGGAAGGGAGUCUUACAAACAGAUUCGAAACUUGGUGGGGCACAGGAAGUCAAAAGCCAGUGCUGGCGGAGGAGAAAGAAGCUGAGACAAAUAUUCUGCAUUGCCUUAGGGGCAGUAACAUUCCUCUAUUUUACUCAAAAGAACUGAUAAACCUCAUAGUACAAAAAAAAAAUUCUGCAACGUUAGAAAUUUAACAAUCAUUCCACCUGCAACUUCCCCUCCCUGGUUCCUUCAAACUUUCAAUUGAGGCUGUGUAUUAUAGUUAACUUUAUACCAGGGGUCCUCAAAUUAAGGUCUGCGGGCAAGGUCUGGCCCAUCAAGGUCCUGAACCCGACCCACCUGUCAAUUGCAGAACCCGCCACUAUCUAACAGGUCUAUGGCAAAAGGAAGUACGGCGUCCCAUGCGUGGCCUCUGCAUCCAGCAUCCGUUGCUACUGCGAGUGGUUAGUUGGUUGCAGGGAGGGGGAGCGGUGUGUGCACAAGAGGGAGGGAUGAUGUGACCCUGCGCACGUGCAGCAGGCGGGCUGGUGCUUUUGCGUUCUCUCUAUUGUCCAUGGCUUAAGAGUUCCUUUGGCUGCGCUGCACAAGGUGAGCAACGUGGGUGAGGCAGUCGUGUGGGGGGGGGGGAGGUCGGCAGCCCCGGCUGAGCAGGUGAGAGGAGGCCCUGCCUCAGGAUUGAGACAGGCAGCUGCUGAGCCAUCUCUCUCCUCCAGCCCCCUUGGUGGGGGUCAGCCAUGACCAGGUUUCCAAAUGGGCUCCCCAAUUCACACAGGAUUAUUAUUGGUGUCUAUCGGCUUAAGGAGACUAUCAGAAGAGAUCAUAAAGAAAAAAGAGAAAAUAUAUGAACAAGAUGUGAUGUGGAAACAGCAAGAUAAGACCGGAUAGAAUUAUGAACUCUGUUUGGACUGAUUUGGACAUUAAAGCAGUAGCAAGAAGAUGAUCAGAAUCCCCCUUCGGAUCUUGAAAUAUGGGUCCCCUCAACAACAAAAUUUAAAAUUCGGCUCUGUAAUUCGGAAUUUGUGUGAUGUGAUUCAAUUUGAUUUGAUUGGCCGGUUAAUAAAAAUUAUUUAAAAAAACAAAACAAAAUGGGCUCCCCCGUAUUUAAUGUGCAUCAUCGCUAUUAAGUCAUUGUUGCUGUUAUAUUGUUUUUGUAGCGUUGCAGAAUUUAUCCUCGUCAAUAAAGACAGAAAAGGGUCCUUUUCCCAGAAAGGUCUGGUUUAUUGUUUUAAGCUGCAUAGUAGCACCAGCAAGAUCAUUCUCAAGGGCUGAGCCCCAUUUCCUCUUUCAGGGGCCCUUUUAUAAUGACUGACAAACGCAUGCGCAGAGCGAGAUUACAGUACAUUAUUUUGCAAAUUAGCAGAUUAUAAAAAGAACAGUCUCCCUUGCGCAGACAUUAUUACCCAAGCAAAUUCUAAAUCUCUCUACUUCCUCAUUUCUUCCCAGACACAACAUUGCUAGCACAAGAUUUCAAGACCCUACCACUUCCGCUUUUCUAACUGCUGAUUCCUGCACUAUUUCCUCAGUCAGACAUUUUCUGGUCAUGUUUGGGGCAGGGGCUGCUGGGGGGGGGGGUGUUCAUAAAUUCUAUUUGAUCUAUCAGCACCUCUGUAUUUAUUGGGUUUUUACUAAUAGAUUGCUAUGUCCAAAAAAAGAAAAGAAAAAUUGACUCAAGAGUGCAGGGUAUUCAAAGAACAGUGGACUUACGAUUACUUUUCCAUGCGGUACAAAGAAAGCGGUUUCGUUCUGUACCCGUUGGUGUUUGUGAGACAGUUUCAAGAGCGAAGUACAAUAGUCAAGCCAGGAGGUGACUGUCGUAUGGAUCACUGUGGCCAGGUCGGGGCAGGAAAGGUAAGGGACCAACUGCUUGAUGCGCGAAGGUGGAAAAAUAUCACCUUGGCUGUUGCUGUAACCUGCGCCUCCAUGGAAAGGGAGGAGUCAAGGAUUACACCCAAACUCUCUUACCUUCUUUUCUACUUCCCUUUACCUUCUCCAGCUCAGACUACUUCAACACCUUCUGCAUAACAUUUGGGACACAAUUGUUCAUCCCUUCUACAAAUAAAAAUACGUAUUUCAAAAAUGUCAGAAGGUAGUGCAAAAAUCAAUUUUGGUAUACAAUAGUGUGCUAAUCCUUAUUCUAAACUGAGCUGGGAUUUAUAAUAAAAUCUAACUUGCACACCCCUUUAAGUUUUAAAAGGUACAAAUUAUAAUUAAAGCACAUAAUGUCUCGUGUUUCACGGGGGUCUUUGGAAACAGAUUCAUCAUACAAUCACAGUUAGCAUGAUGCAAUCUUGAAAAGACUCGUGAAGUACGCACACAACAGGUCUGCAAAUAUUGCAAAUUCCCUUUGCUGCUACCUGCAAGAUGUGAAAGUAUGUCAAAUUUACAGGACCACCUCUAUGAUAACAGAAAGAGGUCAUAUGUUUUAAUAACACAGGUGCUCUUGGUUCCUGCUUACUCCUGUUUUAAGUGCAGGUAAAAAUUAAAGCCUUCCAUUUUUUACCUCAAAGCACAAGAGGGUAGGGAUUAUAUAUGCACAAGACUAAUCUGUUUAUGUAUUCAUCUUAAUUUGUUUGCAGGGCGAUUAAAAGGACACCGCCUGUUUAAGGAGCAUUCAUUCUGAUUUCUUUUCAUGGAAGUGGCACGUCAAAAGGUAUCGUUAUCCCCCUCUCCAGUGCAUUUUCCUGGCACGUUCUCAGUUGGGGGGGUCUUAUUUUGGGGGGACGUUAGGUGUGCUGUGCUAAACAUCCCAGUCACAGCACAAUGUAAAUUUAGCAUAACUGCGUGUAAUUGAAUCCUACCUGAAAAUAGCAACAAUCUGGAAGCACGGUUCGUCUAUUGACUACAAAUAUGCUGUGCCGCUCCUCUCCCAACAGCAGUGCAGGAAAAGGGAGGCAAGUGAGGCAGAGUUGUGCAAAAGGACCGCACAGGCUGUUGGUACAUCCACACAACCCCAAAUUUGCCCCUGCUGUGUUAGGAGGUGGUGGUGCAUCACCUCACCACACCAACAACUGGUUUUCAAAUUAAAAAACCAUCUAAAUACAGCAGAACAAUCAUGGAGAGGAACAAAAAAAUCACGACUGCCAACAAAACUGAAAAUUCAGAGAUUGAAAGUUCACUUUAACAUGUAUCCAACAAUAUCCUACAGUAUUAGAGCCCAGAACAAAUGCCACUGUUUUAUCGAGGUUUACGCAAAAGGGAGUGGUCUUGGUUUCAGUGAGGUUAUUGGGAGAUUCAAGUGUGUGCAGGAUGUGAUGCUUAAAAGUAACAUUUGAUCCUGUCCUGGGUCAGAAAGCAGCUUCAUUUGACAGCUUACCUAGGCCUCUAAUGAACAACUGCCAUGGAUGUUCAGCCUGCAAGCCCCAGGUAAAGGCACUUGUAUUGCUUCUCUCCUGUAUGGCAUCUCCCAUGCAGACUGAAGUUAAUACCCUCCAACUGCAUGUUUUCAAAAGGUGACAGAAUGGAUUAGAAAACCUUUGGGCUUGCUCCAAGGAUUAAGGCUUUCUGGGAGAUGAUCUAUAAUGAAAUGAAAAAGGUAUUCAAAUAUACCUUCCUGAAGAAACCAGAGGCCUUUCUCCUGGGCAUAGUCGGCCAAUUGGUGCCAAAGGAGGAUAGAAUUUUCUUUAUGUAUGCCACAACAGCAGCAAAAAUACUUAUUGCAAAGUACUGAAAGACACAAGAUCUACCCACCCUGGAAAAAUGGCAGAUGAAGGUGAUGGACUAUAUGGAACUGGCGGAAAUGACUGGCAGAAUCCGAUACCAGGGAGAAGAGUCGGUGGAAGAAGAUUGGAAGAAAUUUAAAGACUAUCUACAGAAAUACUGCAAAAUUAAUGAAUGUUAGAAUGAUGUCGGAAUGAAGCUAAGGGGUUUUUAGUAGCAAUGUUACAAGGAGUAUGUAAAAAUGGACUGCUAACAGAUGAGAAUAUACAGAUUACAUAUUAAGACAAAGGACUAAGAUAAAAACAAAGAGGGAAAGGAUUUGCUGAAUUAACUUACUGAACUGGAAUACAAAAAGGGGAGGUGUGAGGAGGUCAGGGAAACAAGUGAAUGAAAGACAAGAUAUGGAAAGAUUGAUUUGUUUUUAAUUGUUUUUACUUUUUUGUAUUUUGUAUUCUUUUUUUCUUUUUUAUUCUUUUUUAUUAUUAUUAUUAUUGUAACUUUUUUUUGAAACUUUAAUAAAUACCUUAUAUAAAAAAAAAAGAAAACCUUUGGGCUUGCUAUUGAAAAGGCAGGGGGAACAACUUUGUGUGAGUUAAAAGAAAGCAUAGGGCCAAGCUUAUUACAGCAAGCAUGCAUCGGUUUUUACUAUUUUUUAAAGUAGUCUCACAAUUAAACAAAAUCACAUUAAAACUAAAUAAAAAAAUGUAAGCACAAAAUAUGUGAAUACAGAUUGAAAUCUUUCAUUAAAUCCACAUUUUGGGAUUACUCAAAUCCCUUGACUUCCUUCCAACUCCCUCCCCUGGUUCCUUUAUAUUAUCUUGAUUUAUGCAUGUCAAACAUCUUUCUCUUUUGAUUUUCUCCAAAUUUAAACACUGAGCCUACCAAGUGGCAAUAGUGACGGUAAAGAGGACCUCAUUCGGCAACUUCUGCAUCACCAGAGGACAGGAAACUCUUUCAGGAGGUUUGUAGUCUAACAGAACCAUCUUUGCCAUUGGGGUCCAAUAAAGACACCCAAGAUCUCCUGUUUAGGGAAGCUUUGAAUGUUUAAUAGGUUUAAUGUACUUUAGCGUUUUAUUGGAAGCUGCCCAGAGUGGCUGGGGAAACCCAGCCAGAUGGGCAGGGGUAUAAAUAAUAAAUUAUUAUUACUGUAACUAUUUUGUUACAAUUUGUAAAGAAGUAGACUCCACCGUGGGGGGCCGGGGCCGGAGAGUGCCAGAGCGCUGUCUAGUCAAGUUGUAUGGGAUAAAUCUCAACCUGUUACCUCUGAGGAUGUGGACAGGCUGCUUGGACGAGUGAAACCUGUCUCCUUGAUCCUUGCCCAUCCUGAUUCAUAAAAGGCAGGCAGGCAGGACUGGGCUGUGGGGUGGGGAAUGCUUCCCUCUGUUGAGAGUCCUCACAGGACCCCUGCAAGAAGCCAUAAUCAAACUGCUUCUUCAAACCAUAUUUGGACCCGGCCAUUAGGGCCGAUUAAUCUCCAAUAUUCCAUAUUCCUGGGAAAGGGGAUGGAGUGAGUGGUCACUUAACAACUCCAAAGGACAUUUGGAGGACGCAGACCUUUUCUCCAGAUGACAUUUUUUCCAUUAAAUGUCCGUAAACAAAUCUUUCUAUAUACAGUGGUACCUCGCAAGACGAAUGCCUCGCAAGACAAAUGCCUCGCAAGACGAAAAACGCGCAAGACGAAAGAGUUUUCCGUUUUUUGAGUCGUUCCGCAAGACGAAUUUCCCUAUGGGCUUGCUUCGCAGGACGAAACGUCUUGCAAGUUUGUUUCUUUUUUCUUAAAGCCGCUAAGCCGUUAAUAGCCGCUAAGCCGCUAAUAGCCGUGCUUCGCAAGACGAAAAAACCGCAAGACGAAGAGACUCGCGGAACGGAUUAAUUUCCUCUUGCGAGGCACCACUGUAUACAAGUUCUUGUUGUCUGUCUAUAUUCAUUUACAAAUAUUGUUCAAUAAUAGUCCUAAUAUACAUUUUUUUAAUUCAUUAAGAUAUUAUUAUCCAGUAAAUUUCUUCUAUUUUCCCGUUAUGAGAUAUUAUUUUUAUUCUACUGGUCCCCUAUUUCACAUCAUCUCUAUUUGUAACAUAAAUUUCCCCCAUUCUUUUUGAUGUUUCAUCCCCCUGAUGUCAAAUUUUUACUGUUUAUUUGGCUAUUUCUGCAUAUUCCAUAACCUUGUACUGCCAUUCUUCUAUUGUAGGCAACUUUUGCUGUUUCCAUAUCUGAGCCAGCAAUAACCUCGCCGCCGUUGUUGUGUGUAACAGUUUCUGGUCAUUCUUGUCAAUGUCUUCUGGGAUCCUUCCUUUUCAAUUGGGUUUCAGGUCCUACCAUGGAACUGAACCCACCACCUCCUUCACUCUAUCCGUUUUCCCUUGGAAAAUACUUUCACUAUGCUUUUUUAUCAUUUGGGUGAGGGUUAUCACCCCUUAAAUCCCGGAGGCAGAAGCUACGAGUCCCACUCAGAAAAAGCAACUCAGUAAGAAUCCAAAAUUUGUUACAGAAAUGUAGUCUGCCACAAUAAUUUUCGGCUCAUUUAAGACAGAAAAGUAAUGGGACAGGUUAGAUAAAGAGCAAGAUAGGUAAGAAAGUUUUGACAACAUUCAAAAAUUCUCAACUUUAUCAUUCUUUUUCCACACAAAAAAGGGAGGGCAUGAAAAAUCUGUAGGCCUUUUCCCCAACAGAUUAAAUCUUCUGCCAUCUGGGGGCAGUAGACAACAGGUACACAAAUUUGCUGGGAAACUGCUAUGGAAUGGAGAAUGUAAACCACUACAGUGGUACCCCGCAAGACGAACGCCUCGCAAGACGGAAAACCCGCUAGACGAAAGGGUUUUCCGUUUUGGAGGCGCUUCGCAAAACGAAUUUCCCUAUGGGCUUGCUUCGCAAGACGACAGCCCAUAGGGAAAUCUCAGGGACAGCGGGGAAGCGCAGCGCGUCUUCCCCACUGUCCUCGGACCUCCUCCGAAGCCUGGCGGCGGGGCGGGGACACCUCCUCCCGCCGCCGCCGGGCUCGGAAGGCUCCUCCGGCCGGGCGGGGGGAGGGAACACUGCUGCCGCACCGCCCGGCUUCGGAACGGUGCCCGGCCGGGCGGGGGGAGGGAACACCUGCCGCCGCCGCCCGGCUCGGAACGGUGCCCGGCCGGGCGGGGGGAGGGAAGACCUCCGCGCCGCCCGGCUUCGGAACGGUGCCCGGGCCGGGCGGGGGAGGGAACACCUGCCGCCGCCGCCCGGCUUCGGAACGGUGCUCCGGCCGGGCGGGGGAGGGAAGACCUCCGCCGCGCCCGGCUCGGAACGGUGCCCGGCCGGGCGGGGGGAGGGAAGACCUUCUGAAGGCGGGCGGGGGCGAAAGUCUUGCUCCCCUGCCUGCCUGUCCCGGGAGGGCUUUUGAAGGCGGGGGAGCAAAGACUUCGCCCCGCCCGCCUUCAGAAGAGGUCCAGGACUCUUCUGAAGGCUGGCGGGGGCAAAGUCUUUGUCCCCCUGCCUGCCUUCCCAGGGGCUUUAAUUGCCCCGGACAGCGGAGAAGUCCUCCGCUGUCCCGGGUGAUUUUAAAAUGCCGCCCGCCAGCAUUUUAAGAUCGCCUGACAGCGGAGAAGUCCUCCGCUGUCCCGGGUUUUUAAAAUGCUGGGGGUGGGAAGAAAGCCCUUGCCUCCCCCAGCCUUCAGAAGAGGUCCGGGGACAGACUGUCCCCGGACCUGGUCUGAAGGCGGCUUCCUAGGAACGCAUUAAUUGAUUUUCAAUGCAUUCCUAUGGGAAACCGUGCAUCGCAAGACGAAAAACUCGCAAGACGAAGAGACUUGCGGAACGAAUUAAUUUCGUCUUGCGAGGCACCACUGUAAUUGCAAUGUUCUUCGAAGGAUAGCAAUGCACACAAAAAAUCCCAAGCCACAUUUCAUCUAGCUCAACAACCUACUCAUCAAGUAGCAUAUCUUGUAAGGACUUUUACCCGCAUGUAAUAGAUAAUACUUCAUUAUGUGCUUUAGCUGCAAGCAAACUGCAAAGCAUAAAUAGCUUGUUUAACAGUUAACAUCUCGAAGUCCUAGAGAGUGUACCCAUUUCAGUUUUAGAUUAAUUGCUGUUUAUAUAUAAUAUUACGUUGUCACAUUCUUGUACUUUUUCUCUUAAUUUCCUUUAUUCAGUUGGCACAUUAGCAAAACUGAAUACAAUUCUGGUCUUAAUGGAAAUAUACAAUUGUCAUCCAACUCUGCUCAUUUCACAAAAAGUAGUGACUGUUAAGAAAUCUAAACCUUGCAACAAAGCCUUCUUAGUUGUGCUUUUUAAAAAAGGUCAAGUGGUACUUUACCAAUUUUACCAUGGGUGGUAGGUCUUUAAAAAAGGUCUAACCUACACUUGAUAAGAGAAAAGCAAACAAGCACAAUUUUCCUGUCCUACACCUGCUUCUCGAGGCGGAAACAAAGACCUAACGCAAUUUUUUAAAAAACCUCAUCUGAAAAAUGCAAUUUGUUUUGUAUUUUGAUUAAUAACCAAAUUUAACCCAAAACACCUGUGAAGGUAAGUUUUUAAAACUGUAAAUCUGUCAUAUAAACACUUCUUUCUGUUCUGCCUUUCCUUCUUGGGCAUCAAAAACUUGGUUAGCUUUCUUAAAAGUCUAUCAAAAUUAUGUAUAGGAAUUCCUAAGAAACCUGAUCACAUUAAGGUCCCGGAACAGCUGAAUGCAGAUUAACAGCAGCUGAGAAGAGACUUUCAUUUUGUUUUCUUAGCUAGGUACUUUAAUUAUUUUUCAUUGUUUUGAAUGGCUUUUCUUUUGUUUCCUUGUUGUACUCCCUGAUAUUUCACAUGACAAUACUAUAACACAAAAAACAUUUCUUCAUCCAAAUUCCUCUCCCUGAAAACCCAAUGAAUUCAGGUAAUCACCCAAUAAAGGUGCAAAAUGGAGGGCUGCCUAGUUUGUAGGAGCAUUUCAGAAGUACAUAGUCCUUUAGCAUUGGGGAGUGGUCCACUCAAACACUUAAGAUUUCUCAAAGCUAUGCAGCGCUCUGUAGAUUCUGACUGAAUAGAGGCAUUUCUAAUGCAAAAAGCUAAUGUAUUAAACGUGUUUAAAACUUUUAGUCAAUUGCAGAUUUUAAUUCUUGAGUGUUUUAAAUAGCUUUCACUGCUAAUGCCAUCAUUUGAGUCUUUGCAAACCCACUGAGUUUGUUAUUAAAGCGGUGUAUAAAUUUUAUGCCAAACUUUUACACCCAGGCCUACCCCUACACAUGGCUAGGUUUAAGAAGUUGGAGGACCCCUGCCUUAAAGACUAGCAGAAUUCUGGUAUAUAUGGGUAAGGUUCAGCAGAAGCACCAAGUGAUAUCGCAUGCUGAAGUUGGUUUUGAGCCUAUUUCUGCAGUAAUUUAAGGAACCUUGUGUGAUCAGAGACCUUUCCCAUACUCUUUUAGCUUGUUUUGCAAACCUCCACACCACCCAUCUUUCUCCUGGCUCUUAACCACCUAUUCCCCAGAGUCAGGAGCUGCUGUUUAAUUGAAAAGCAUUUUGCAGCUGCAAAAUUUCCACCUCUGGUUACAAAAACCCCUCACUUCGGUGCCUUUCGUGCUUGGUAAUCCCAUGGAAUGCCUCCACCCCAAUUCCCGGGGCCUUCUUGGCAAACUUGCAACUAGCAGGGCUAACUGGGCAAGGUAUGAAACAUAGAACCAGUAGAUCAAACCUUCCCCAAAUCAUCUUAACUUUUAAUUCAAAUUGCUUUUCUUUUUGCUGGUUUUAGUUUCACUUUGUUUUUACCAGUAAUUCUACUUUUAUAAUUGAAAGUUCUUUAAAAGCCACUUUUUAUUCUUUUUAAUGCUCUAAUGCAGUGUUUUGCCCGGUGUGCUGUGGGAAAAAUUGAAAAAUUCGAAAGAUUUUUUAAAAAUAAAAUUCAAUUUUUCGCCCACUAGGGGGGCGCCGAACUGUGUCGUGGGUAUGGGGGGGUUUUUGACCCCACCCUCGGCCAGCAGGGGCGCCGAUUGGCGCUCCUCAGGGGGACACCCUCCACUUUUCUGAUGUCCGGGCUGUGAUUGGUCCAGACUCCAGCCUGGACCUAUCACAGUAGGACAUCAUCUUCCGACUUCCUUCCCGCCCGAGCACAGUGUGCGCAGCAGCGGAGAGAAGAAGACAUCGCGACUCGAGUCACCAGGAGGACCGGAGAAGUUGUCAUUUUAUUUCUCUUCAGUCUCCACUGAAUGCCUUGACUGGGUUAGGGACCCUUAUAGCUCAGCAUCAGUUGGUGGAAAGGACAUGACUUUACAGGAGCAGGAGGAACUAACUGAACUGAGACAAAAUCGUGGUUUCAAGCUAAGAUUUGCUGAUCUACCUUUGGACAGCUUUUGGUUGGAUACUGCCAAGGAGUUCCCCCUUCUGGCAAACAAAGCUAUUUUGACAUUGCUCCCAUUUUCCACUACAUAUCUGUGUGAGAUGAGCUUUUCAAGCAUGAUUGCUAUAAAAACUAAAUACAGAGAGAGACUGAGAGCUGUUGACGAAGAGCUACGUUUGUGUCUUUCUUCGAUUCCAGCCAGAAUAUCAGCUUUGUGUUCAGCCAAACAGGCCCAGGUUGCGCACUGAAUAAAGUAUUUUAUAUUUUUUCAUAUUUCUGUUUACUUACUAUUUCAUAAUAAAGUAAUUAUAAAAUACUUUCUUUGUGUUUAUUUGAUUCCUAUUCAAGAGAAUUACUUUAUAUAUAGUCAAUAUAGGCUCAGAGUUAAUUUUUUUAACAUUUUCUAAUGGUGGUGUGCCUUGCGAUUUUUUUCCAUGAAACAAGUGUGCCUUUGCCCAAAAAAGGUUGAAAAACACUGCUCUAAUGUGUGCUGAGACCUCAGGAAGGACAGGUAAGAGAAAUCAUCCCUAUUUAUCACUAACAGCCAACACCUGCAUUCAACCAGAUUAACCACCAGGUGGAACAUCUAGUUAAGAACCAAUUAAGGGGGGGG